CAACUACUCCCUCCAUUCGGAAUUACUUGUCUCGAAUAUGGAUGUAUCUAGAGCUAAAAUACAUCUAGAUACAUCCAUUUCUGCGACAAGUAAUUCCGAACAGAGGGAGUAGUAA
rnacentral:pre_miRNA from 1 species